GGGCAUGGUCACAAUUUUGCUCAAAAGUGAUUUUUUACUGAUAAAUUGAACAUAUGUAAACAAAAACAGCACAAGCCUUGUUUACAUGACAAAUAUUGUGAGUCCUGUCUCUGGCUUAUAACUCUAUCACUGACUCUCAAAUUUCAUUUGAUAAUUAGAAAUGCAUUCCCAAAGCAUUGUAAAUAAUAAAAACAGAAAAAUAAGAUUUGACAAAAUUCGUGACCAUACCCUUUAAAGAUCUUUUAAUUGUUUUUGGAAGAAUCUUCUCCACAUAUGAAAUUCUCUUUAUUACUCAUUUUUUGAUGGGUUAUCAUUAAACAGCUGGUGUCUUGUCAGAACAAGGAAUCGGUAUGGUGCUUUGGGCCCAAAUAUUCUAAUACAUGUGCAAAUUAACCAUGUGUAUGCAUUCACUGCAUAUGCAUACAACUUUAAAUUAACCCUUUUCUGCUUUUGGGUUUUGUUGAUUUUUUGAAAGAAAAUUUUCCAUAUUUUGGCUUCAGAUUAUUUUUAAUGUUAGAGAAAGCAGCUUAUUUGGAAUGUUUGAGGUUUUUUUCAUGCCAAAAAAUAAAAUGUUAACACAUUGAAAAGGUUAUUUUUAGUUCAGCAUGAGAACUUGUUUGCUUCCUUAAUUAUUUCCCUUAUUGUACCCCUCAGCAUGACUUGUUUUAACACACAGUGUUACACAUUUCGGCUAUAAUUAGGUAUUAAUACAAGUUAAUGUAUGAGAGAUAUAUGUAUCAAUAAAAUGGGCUCAAUUC
rnacentral:misc_RNA from 1 species